rnacentral:rRNA from 1 species
UGGGGAAUAUUGCACAAUGGGCGCAAGCCUGAUGCAGCGACGCCGCGUGAGGGAUGACGGCCUUCGGGUUGUAAACCUCUUUCAGCAGGGAAGAAGCGAAAGUGACGGUACCUGCAGAAGAAGCGCCGGCUAACUACGUGCCAGCAGCCGCGGUAAUACGUAGGGCGCAAGCGUUGUCCGGAAUUAUUGGGCGUAAAGAGCUCGUAGGCGGCUUGUCACGUCGGAUGUGAAAGCCCGAGGCUUAACCUCGGGUCUGCAUUCGAUACGGGCUAGCUAGAGUGUGGUAGGGGAGAUCGGAAUUCCUGGUGUAGCGGUGAAAUGCGCAGAUAUCAGGAGGAACACCGGUGGCGAAGGCGGAUCUCUGGGCCAUUACUGACGCUGAGGAGCGAAAGCGUGGGGAGCGAACAGG